AGAUUGAACGCUGGCGGAAUGCUUUACACAUGCAAGUCGAGCGGCAGCGCGGGGCAACCUGGCGGCGAGCGGCGAACGGGUGAGUAAUGCAUCGGAACAUGUCCAUGUCGUGGGGGAUAGCCCGGCGAAAGCCAGAUUAAUACCGCAUACGCCCGAGAGGGGAAAGUGGGGGACCGCAAGGCCUCACGCGAUUGGGUUGGCCGAUGUCCGAUUAGCUAGUUGGCGGGGUAAAGCCACCAAGGCGAUGAUCGGUAGCUGGUCUGAGAGGAUGAUCAGCCACACUGGACUGAGACACGGCCCAGACUCCUACGGGAGCAGCAGUGGGAAUUUGGACAAUGGGGGCAACCCGUG
rnacentral:rRNA from 1 species